rnacentral:rRNA from 1 species
CCUGGCUGAUCCUGCCAGGAGCAUAUGCUUGUCUCAAAGAUUAAGCCACGCACGUACAAGUACACACAUCCAGUGCAGUGAACCUGCGAAUGUCUCAUUAAUUCAGAUGUGGUUCCUUUGAUCGCUCCUUUUAACUGUGGCAAUUCUAGAGCUAAUACAUGCCAACACGCAAGGACCUCCCAGGAUGAAUGCAUUUAUCAGACAACAUCCAAACCAUGCUUGCCCGGCCACGUUGGUAACUCUAGAUAACCUCUUGCCCAUCGUACGCCCCUGUGUAAUACAUUUGAAAGUCUGCCCUGUCAGUUUUCCAUGUUUCCUUCUGUACCUACCAGGACGACUACAGCUAACGGGGACUGAGGGCUCAAUUCCGGAGAGGGAGCCUGAGAAACGGCAUGCACAUCCAAGGAAAUCAGCAGGUGCGCUAAUUACUCAAUCCCGACUCGUGGAGGUAGUGACGAAAAAUCAAAAUGCAGGACUCUUUCGAUGCCCUAAAAUUGGUAUGGGAACACUUACAAUCCUUUAAUGAGGACCAAUAAUAGGGCAAGUCUGGUGCAAGUAGCCACUGUAAUUCCAGCUCCAAUAGUGUAUAUUAAAGCUGAUGCAGUUGAAAAGCUUGUAGUUGGAUCUUGGGAUUGCACUGGCGGUCCACCGCAAGGCUAUCUACUGCCUGCCCCAGCCCAUGUCUCUCAGCGCACCCUUGGUGCUUUUGACUGAACAGCCUGAGGGUCCAAAGCAUUUACUUUGAAAAUAAUGUGAGUGUUUGAAACAGGCCGGUCGCCUGAAUACUUCAGCUAGGAAUAGGACUCCAGUUCCAUUUUGUUGUUUUUCGGAACUGGAGCCAUGAUUAAGAGGGACGACCGGGGGCAUUCGUAUUGAGCCGGUAGAGGUGAAAUACUGGGACCGGCGCAAGACGAACCAAAUUGCAAGAUUUUGCCAAGAAUGUGUUCAUUAAUCUAGGACCAAAGUCGGAGGCUCAAAGACUAUCAGAUAACAUAGUUCCGACCAUAAACAAUGCAGACUGGCAGCGUUAUUUCCAUGACCCACUGAGCAGCUUCCGGGAAACCAAAGUCUUUGGGUUCCGGAUAUGGUUGCAAAGCAGACAUUUAAAGGAAUUGACGGAAGGGCACCACAAGGUGUGGAGCCUGCAGCUUAAUUUGACUCCACACGGGAAGUGCCCCCCAGCCCGGACAUGGAAAGGACUGCCAUAUUGAUAGCUUUUUCUCGAUUCUGUGGGUGGUGGUGCAAAGCCAUUCUUAGUUGGUGCAUCGAUUUGUCUGGUUAAUUCCGAUAAUUAACAAUACAAUUAUUUCCAUGAACGAGGAAUUCACAGUAAGUGCUAAUGAUAAACUCGCCUUGAUUAAAAGGUAGAGAUAUUUGUACCGCGCACCGUCACCAACAGAGUUGGUCCCCGGGUGCUCUGGCGGACCUGCAAACGGGAAGGCGGGAUGGGUUAGUAGGGUGAAGCGGGAGUAGGAUAGUAAGAGGGGUAGUGUUCUGUUGGCAGCUUCAUCUCAGUA